rnacentral:rRNA from 1 species
UGGGGGAUAUUGCACAAUGGGCGAAAGCCUGAUGCAGCGACGCCGCGUGGGGGAUGAAGGCCUUCGGGUUGUAAACUUCUUUUGCUCUGAACAAGGCAUGCUAAUGGGUGUGUUGAGUGUAGGGGUUGAUUAGCGCCGGCUAACUACGUGCCAGCAGCCGCGGUAAUACGUAGGGCGCGAGCGUUGUCCGGAAUUAUUGGGCGUAAAGGGCUUGUAGGUGGCUGGUUGCGUCUGUCGUGAAAGCUCAUGGCUUAACUGUGGGUUUGCGGUGGGUACGGGCUGGCUUGAGUGCAGUAGGGGAGGCUGGAAUUCCUGGUGUAGCGGUGGAAUGCGCAGAUAUCAGGAGGAAUACCGGUGGCGAAGGCGGGUCUCUGGGCUGUUACUGACACUGAGGAACGAAAGCAUGGGGAGCGAACAGG